GACGGAGGAUGCAAGUGUUAUCCGGAAUCACUGGGCGUAAAGCGUCUGUAGGUGGUUUUAAAAAAGUCUACUGUUAAAGCUUGAAGCUUAACUUCAAAAAUGCCGUAGAAACUUUUAAAACUUAGUAUGGUAGGGGUAGAGGGAAUUUCCAGUGGAGCGGUGAAAUGCGUAGAUCUUGGAAAGACCACCAAUGGCGAAGGCACUCUACUGGGCCAUAACUGACACUAAGAGACGAAAGCUAGGGGGAGCAAAUGGG
rnacentral:rRNA from 1 species